rnacentral:lncRNA from 1 species
AAUUCAGGUAGAGGCCUUGUCCACCUAAUUUUAAUACGUUCAAAUGAAAGAGAGAAACACAGUGGAAGAUUAAGAGUCACGCUUGACACUUCCAAGAAAAGCAGUUCCUUGUUGAUCACGGCUUCCCGGGCAGCAGACACUGCUUCUUACUUCUGUGCUACGGACGCACAGGAACACCGGUAACCAGUUCUAUUUUGGGACAGGGACAAGUUUGACGGUCAUUCCAAUAUCCAGAACCCUGACCCUGCCGUGUACCAGCUGAGAGAC